GGGAAUACCGGUGGAGAUAUGUCCGUCUUACCUGAGGACUGCGUAGCAAACGUCCUGUCGUUUACGGAUCCUGGGGAUGCAGCCAGGUUGUCUAUGGUCUCUUCCACGUUCAAGUCGGCAGCGGAAUCCGACACCGUUUGGGAGCAGUUCCUUCCCCCAGAUUAUCGCUCUAUUAUCUCCCAAUCCUCUGAUUCUUCUCUCUUGGCCUCUACUUCCUCCAAGAAAGAGCUCUUUCUCCGUCUCUGCGACAAUCCUAUCCUCAUUGAUGACGGCAAGAAGGUACUAUAUUCUUUUCGAUUGUACAUUAGUUAAAAGGUCUGUCCUUUUUAUUAUAUUUUAUAUUGGGUCAAUUUCGAAUGUCAAUGUCACUUAGUUAUUUAGUUUAUGGAGAUUUGAUUAUGACAUGAACCAGCGUAAUAAUCCUUUUUGUCCUAAUAAUCCUUGCUCUGUUUGUUCGUCAUGUAAAAUUUGAAUUAUUCUCUACCUGCAAUUUCCCUUCUAAAAUUGGCUUUGUGAUGCUGCCCUUCCUUCCCUUCAAGAGGCAGUAAGAUCAUUUUCUGCUAUUAUAUAUGCAUGGAUAUUUAAUGUUUCCUCUGAACUAAACAGAGCUUUUCACUGGACAAAUUGAGUGGGAAGAAAUGUUACAUGCUUUCUGCGAGGGACCUCAUGAUCGCAUGGGGUGAUACUCCUAGAUACUGGAAAUGGACUUCUGAACUUGAGUCCAGAUUUGCUGAAGUAGCUGAGCUUAUUGGCGUGUGCUGGCUUGAAAUCCGUGGUAAAAUUGAUACUUGUAUGUUAUCCCAGGACACGCUCUAUGGAGCUUACCUUGUGUAUAGGACAACUGCAAGAACCUAUGGAUUUGAAUACCAGCCUGUAGAUGUAACUGUGGGACUUGCCGGUGCUGAAGGUUGUAAGCGAAGUUUUCAUUUGGUUGCAGAAAGAGAGCAGCAGGAGAAGCAGCUAUGCCAAUUUUUGUCGAGCCAAGUCGGGUUAUUCCGCCACAGCCGUGCAUCGGGGUCGCAAUCACCUGCAGUACCAACCGGAGAGGAGAACAAUGGUCAAUAUCCACAGAAAAGAGAAGAUGGAUGGUUGGAGAUGGAACUUGGCCAGUUCUUUAACAAGGAUGGUGAAGAAGGGGAAUUGGAAAUGAGCAUUAUGGAAGUGAAAGGAGGUGAUUGGAAAGGCGGGCUUAUUGUUCUUGGGAUAGAGAUUAGGCCGAAAGAGGAUGCAUAUGAAAAGAAAUAAGCUUGCAUGGGUCUUCGUUUUCCACGUAAUUGUCAAUUUGUGAUUUUACAUUAAUUCACACAUGAAGCAAGAGUCACCUGCAUCUCAGUCGAGUGCUUCUGCUGGUGAAUGGUGAUAUUGACUCAGGCCUGCUCAUUUUGAAGUUCUUCUUCUGUUAAUUUAACUCUUAUUUCUAUUGAUCGUAUGGCAUUGUAUCUUUGUUGUACUAAGUAUCAAUAUGUGAUGUUAAACUUGUUCCGCGAAAAGCUGCUUUUGUUUUAGUGUUUAUUCACUCGCAUAACGUGAAGAAAUUAUGAAAUACACUUAUAUGAGUGAAAGAACACAUACUCGAGGUAUAUUUUACAAUUUAUUUUAAUAUUAUU
rnacentral:misc_RNA from 1 species